rnacentral:hammerhead_ribozyme from 1 species
AUCCAGCUGACGAGUUCCAAAUAGGACAAAACGCGCGUUCUGGAU